CAUUACCAUUACAGAGCUCUGCAAAACUUGAGAUUCACUGAAGAAGAAGAGAUUUCGAGGGAGAGAAAUCGCAAGCAAAUCCUUAUAAGAUUGUAUAGUUAGUGUGUAUGGUUUGUUAAUUCUCGUACGGUGAUUUUGUGAAGAUUUUGGAGCUAAGACUAGCAUCUGAUUGUUGAAUACGGUGGUUUUCUUACAAGAGAUUAACACAAUGUUUGCAGAUGAGGCUGGAAAUCGAUGAAUGGGAUAGAACUGGAAGUUGGGGUUUUGAAGUUGUAUGUGGAGAAAGUGCAGGGAAACAAUGGGUCUGGUGGUAUCUGUGAUGGAGAUGGAGUUGUGUUAUACAGUGGUUAAUGAAUCUGGUGAUGGAGAUGGAGUUGCAAUACAGGAGCUGAAGGUGAAGCGACAUGAAAGGGUUCUGGAUAGGGUUUAUGGAAUGACGUUCUUAUUGGUGAUUGUUGUUUGAAUGGCUUGAAGCAGGGUGGUGAUCUGGUGAAUGGAUAUGGGCCAGUGGUAAUCUUGUAAUGAAGAGGAGAUGCAGAUGGUUUUGUUGGGUUGCAGCUGCAGUUCAAGUUGAUGGUGGUCGCUAAAAUGAUAUGAUGAUGUGUUUGCUGUCGCAGUGCAGGUUACGGGGACUAGAUGAAUGUAUUAGGUUUACAAUGAAAUGGUGGAUGUUCAUUGAUGGCUUUGAGCUGAGAAGAUACAGGCAGGUGGUGUCAAAGUGAAUGUACUAGGUUUACAGUGAAUGGGUUGCUCUUUAAUUCGAAUUGCAGUUAAUGGGUUGCUCUUUGUGCAAGAGGUUGCUGGUGAAAAUGGCCAGAGCACACAUCUGGUAUGACCACAUUGAGGAGUGUAACAUAAUUUCAGGAGUUCGUUGUUAGCAGGGCAGAGAGGAACCAUGAUGGUAACAAUGCUGGUAAUGCCAGGAGGUUGGUCUAGAAUAUGGAGAAAAACAUAACAGAAGAGACUCAGAUUUAUGGCGAGCUCGAGGAAGGAAACGAGUAUGGAAUUGUCAGCCACCAUCUACACCAGCCACCACCAUUGUUUUUCCUAAACCAGUUUGCAUAUCCACUAGCAUACCACCAAAUCCUUACCACCACCAUUCCAGUGCAUAUUCCCCACCAGUUCACAUCAGUUCCAGAAAUUGAUAAACGUUCACAUCAUCACCAGCUUGCAGCAAACUGUGCAACACUAGGAACGACUUGGUAGCCAAGCCACGUCAGAAGAUGCCACGUGUCAGAGUUGGCCCCCGUCAGAGGAUGCCACAUGUCAGUGGUACACGUCAACAACUGCCACAUGUGAUAAUUUAACCAUGGUUAAUAGUAGCUGGAGUUAAAGAGAGGGUAUUUUGGUGACAACUAACACCGUUUUUUGCCCAAAUAGUUAUUUGGGACAGAACAUGAUUAUUUUGUAAACCAAUUUCAAAAGUGUGAUCAUUUUGUAAUCGAAUUACAAAAAGUAGGACCAUCUUAUAAUUGACCCUUAAUA